AGGGACACGCGGAUUCGCGCGUCACAGUGACCCCCACCGUCUCCUGGGAGAUGGGACACUGAGGCUUGGUAAAGCAGGUGAAGCAGGAGGCAACAGUGGGUCGGUGUCGAGGCUCCCACCUGACCUCUCCAGGGGGUCGACAGGAGGUUUCCUGGAUGCCAGGAAAAUGCCAGGGGUGGCGGAAAGUGACAGGGAUGAAGAAACCUCAGGUGGAGUUUCAGAGAGCGGGAUCUCAGCCUCAGGCAGGCCCAGACGGUGUGUGGUGCUGCCCUUAGGUGGGACUGUAACAUAUGCCUGGAUGAUGCACCGGAGUGAUGUGACACUUUUGCCUGAGCCCUGCCCUGAGGGGAUAUUUUUACAUACUGCUGAACUCAGCACCUAG
rnacentral:lncRNA from 1 species